rnacentral:rRNA from 1 species
UACGGGGGGGGCAAGCGUUGUUCGGAAUUACUGGGCGUAAAGGGCUCGUAGGCGGCCAACUAAGUCAGACGUGAAAUCCCUCGGCUUAACCGGGGAACUGCGUCUGAUACUGGAUGGCUUGAGGUUGGGAGAGGGAUGCGGAAUUCCAGGUGUAGCGGUGAAAUGCGUAGAUACUCGGAGGAACACCGGUGGCGAAGGCGGCAUCCUGGACCAAUUCUGACGCUGAGGAGCGAAAGCCAGGGGAGCAAACGGG